GUCUACGGCCAUGCCACCCUGAACACUCCUGAUCUCGUCUGAUCUCGGAAGCUAAGCAGGGUCAGGCCUGGUUAGAACUUGGAUACUUGGAUGGGAGACCACCUAGGAAGACCGGGUGCUCUAGGUU
rnacentral:rRNA from 1 species